rnacentral:rRNA from 1 species
GACGUCAAGUCCUCAUGGCCCUUACAGGCUGGGCUACACACGUGCUACAAUGGCGGUGACAAUGGGACGCUAAGGGGUGACCCUUCGCAAAUCUCAAAAAGCCGUCUCAGUUCGGAUUGCACUCUGCAACUCGAGUGCAUGAAGUUGGAAUCGCUAGUAAUCGUGGAUCAGCAUGCCGCGGUGAAUACGUUCCCGGGCCUUGUACACACCGCCCGUCACGUCAUGAAAGUCGGCAACACCCGAAGCCGGUGGCCUAAC